CUUCUCACUUGUUCCCUCACUCUGUCUCAGUUUUACCAUCAUCUCACCUCUUCCUCGGGCACACGUAAUCUGGGCAGAUGACAAACAAAACACAAACGAUGGUACGUGCCAUAACACAACAGCCCCCUCCCCCACAUUCUCAUCGAGGAGUCAAGAGAGCCCAACAAAUUUACAGAUUUGUGAAUUUUCUUUAUCACUGAAAUUCGGAAAUUAACUUCAAGGUUGUGAACUACAACCAAUGAGGACUCAAUAAGGAAACGAGCCAAAGCCCAGGUGGAAAUGAAUAAACCAAUUCCAGACCAAAGUUGUCAUCAAUAAAGAUAUUUUGAUUGGGUUUAUGGUUUGGCAGAAUUUCCAAAAUAAAAGUCUCAUGGCAAAAUGGAUAUUUAGAGGUGGAAGGGAUACAAGGACAAUUAUGAGGUAAGCCUCAGGGACAAUAGGAUUUUUAAAAAACAAAUUUGGUAGCGGAAUGCGAUGAGCCAGUCAACUAAAAUGAGGAGACACAAAUUAUUCAUUAGGAACAAAGUAUACAUAAUUUGUCUGGACUGAUCGUCGUGAAAAAUCCCAGAGGCAAAAUAAAAUCUUCCCUGAGCUGGACAUUUGACAGAUUCUCCUGGAGCUCUUGGCAAUGGCCCUCGUAUCUCCCCUGUCCUUCAGUUAAUAAACCACCCUGUGCCAUUUUAUUACCCUUUGUUGUCUUCAUUUAUCGCUGGACAGAGUGGUCACAUUGAAAAGGACAUACUCAGCAUCGGCUAUCCUUUGGUGAUAAAAAUUUCCGAAAUUUUUUCAAUCCACUUGGCUUUUGUGUCAAAUUAUUUCGAGACGAAAAACGUUGGAAUGAGGUAAAAUACAUCUGGAAAAUUUAGACAGUCUCUGAUUUAGAACGCAGCAAGAAGGCCUGAAAACCAUUCGAGGAAGCUCAGAGGCCUGUGCAAUUCGGCCAACCGUACAAACACAGUCGCUUGUCGCUUUACUACCUUCCCCUCCAAAGCCAUCCUAAUCUUUUCUUUCUCCCUCCCCUCUCCUUUUCACCCCUCGCCAACCGUUACUUCACUCCCCCUUCACUUUAUUCUCCUACCCCCCUUGGUCACCUCAAAAACUGCGCUCUCUCAUUCACCUCAAACUCCUGCUCCAACUGUAGAUCUUUUCUUGUUCUCGUCAACAAAGCAAGAAGACAUCUUUACAUGGAUUGCACCUAAAACUCGAAUUCCCCUCAAUAAAGUGAAAUAAUAAUUCUCAUCUCUGUUUUAUACGGCAUUUAUCUUUUUUUGGUGUAUGAGAUACCAAAGCAAGUUUAAUGCCGAGAAGAGGGGGUAACCAUGUGCAGUGGCACGUAUCCAACUGCUCGUGUACAUGGCAAUGGCUGAUACAUAUAUGUAGGCAAUAGUGACCGCAUCGAAAGUCAUGACGAUUCCCCCAUUUUUUUUUUUUUGUUGAUUUUACAGGGGAGGAUGGGAUAUUUAUAGAGUGUUUUCGCGGUUCUGGUAAUCGUUGAUGAAUGGUUUUGGUUGAUGACAUUUUUUUUCAUUAGGCAAUUUGAGGGAAUGGAGACGGAUUUAUUAAUUAGAGGGAGGGAGAGGAGGGAAUGAGGUAGGCUUGGGAGGGGAGAUGGCGAUUUUAUAGAAUUGAGGGAGGGAAAUUCAUUGGUUUAUUGAUGAGAAUUUCAUUGCUGGAUCCAAUAGUCCGGGAAAUUUCAGCCCCAAAUGUUUACUCAUAAACAGGACAACUAAUUAUCAUUCAUCAUCAUCAUCGUUCAAUUUCUCCAGUUAUAAAAAAAUUAUGAUUUUUCGAAUCAUUAUUAUUCCUCACUUUUCAUGUCUUUCCUCGCUCAACUUUGAUGGCCGAGGUAAUGAGAAAGUUUUCUACCCCAAUGUAACAAUUUAGGAUUUUUUAUUCCACCUAAUUCAAUGAGUCCCACUCUCUUGACCUCGAACCACGACUGGGAACAACUUUCGCGGUUACAGCUGCACAUAGACAAGAGUAUAGUCCAAUCGCCAAGUGCAUUGAUUGACAAAUAGGGA